GCGGCGCCGCCGCCGCCUCGGGCGCUGGCUGUGGCGCCGGCGCCGUCGCCGGGGGCGCUGAAACUCGCCAUGGCGGCACGGGAGAGCCACGAGGCCGACCUCGGCUCCCUGAGCAGCCUCGCCGACAAGCCUGCCCCCAUGGAGGUGACGUGACCUCUGACCGGGUCGCCGCACCUCACCCCCCCCACCACCAACCCUGCGACCUCCCAGAGUUGUGGGGGGUGGGGGGAGGACACCAGCCAACUACAGCGCACUGCCGCGCCAUCAGCCCCGCCCGCCUCCUUCGCCCGCCUCGCUGCCACCCAGGCCACCGGGCCUAGCGACUUGGUCAACGCCACAAUACCACUAAGCCACACUGACCGCCGCUCGGGAUUUCCAGCCAAUCGGGGCGGCCCUGUGAAUCGCUUAGCGUGGCUGGGGCGCGCCCCCCCCACCCCCCUCCCUCACACUUGAGCCGGACCGCACGACUGGAAUUGGACUCUGCACACCGAGACGAAUCCAGAUCUGGAACCAGACCGAGAUGGCAUUAAAGACGCGUGAGGAGCAGAGGUCGUGAUGAUGGAAUUAACAUAAAAGUCUUUAGUAGGGGCACUGCUUCGAAUCCAGCAUUUGAUAUUCGUUUGAACCUUUUUUUUUGCUCCUGGACAGGUCCACUUUGAUUUCAAUUUGUUGUCGUUUGGUUUGGGUUCGGUGGGUGACAUUUUGCCCACAGUCUUAUUGUUGCGGAUUGUGAAAGACUUCCCGGAGAUGGCUCCCAUUCCGGUUUCUGCGUUCCCGGGUUCCAGAUUCUGGGUUCUUGCUCAGUGGAAAUUCACCUGCCCCACGCUCCGCUGCGACGUGGUUUAUUUUUUCUGGGCUGCGUGGGAGCGCCGGGUCUGGCCUCUGCCACCCGCACCUUCGUCCGUCUCGUCUGUACGGACGCGCGCAGAUUUCGCACCGGAACGCUCGCCUUUGUAAUAUUGUGUACAUAUAUAAAUGUAGAAAAUAUAAACAAACCGAUUCAUCCGUUCGUUGGUAACUUGAAAUUCGGAAACCUCA